UACGGAGGGGGCAAGCGUUACUCGGAAUUAUUGGGCGUAAAGGGCGCGUAGGCGGUCGUGCGCGUCGGAGGUGAAAUCCCCGGGCUUAACCCGGGAGCUGCCUCCGAUACGGCAUGGCUUGAGUCCGGGAGAGGGGAGCAGAAUUCCCAGUGUAGCGGUGAAAUGCGUAGAUAUUGGGAGGAAUACCAGUGGCGAAGGCGGCUCCCUGGACCGGUACUGACGCUGAGGAGCGAAAGCGUGGGGAGCGAACAGG
rnacentral:rRNA from 1 species